CAUAUUGUAAGACAAAAGUGAAAGUUGGACAUUUUCAGGCGUUCCGCUUGCCCUAAAAAGUUGUCGCCACAAAUUUUUACCAGUUUAAAAAAAUAUCACUCCAUGAAUAACUUCGAACAGAGACGUAGAUGAUGCCUUUGCUUUGGACACUAUUCGUGCUAUAGUCAAAUGUAAUUGACAAUAUUUCACAGAAUCGCAUUGCGUUUAUAUGAUUAAAACCUUGAACAACAUCCGCCUUGAAUCGAAUAUAAAGAGCGCUCGAAACGAAGUGAACAGUCGUUCCCGAAAGUAAACACCAAAGGUAUCAUCAUGAAGACUGCCUUCCUUGUUGCUCUCCUGAUCACUUGCGUUGUCAUGGUUACCAUGCCAGUGACUGAAGCCCAACGUCACUAUGACUGCCAUUGCAGUAGCGGACCGUGUCGUCACCCAAAGAGAAACUCCGGUCCGUGUCCACGCAACCCACGACAGAAGUAUUGCUGUAGAUAUUGAGGACCACCAAAGCACACCAGACCACAUUGAAAUUCAAAUGUUCUGGUUAGGUUGAAUCAAUAAAACAGCGCAAUGUU